rnacentral:tmRNA from 1 species
AAUAAUGAAUUUUAUAGACUUACUAAGUAUUUAGGUUGUUAAUUACUUUUGUACUUAGGACAUAUUCUUAAUUAACUAAACUUGUAGAUGUUACUUAUUACGUAUUUUUGGACAGGGGUUCAACUCCCCUCAGCUCCACCA